rnacentral:rRNA from 2 species
CCACCACUAAGCCAGUGGUGAACUCCACAUACGCAUCCUUUGCUGAGGAUACGGUUAACGGAGCGAAAGCGACGUUCAACCGCAAAAGAAGCAGAGGGGGCUUAGUGGUGGGGUGACUGCGUACCUUUUGUAUAAUGGGUCAGCGACUUAUAUUCUGUAGCAAGGUUAACCGAAUAGGGGAGCCGGAGGGAAACCGAGUCUUAAUUGGGCGUUAAGUUGCAGGGUAUAGACCCGAAACCCGGUGAUCUAGCCAUGGGCAGGUUGAAGGUUGGGUAACACUAACUGGAGGACCGAACCGACUAAUGUUGAAAAAUUAGCGGAUGACCUGUGGCUGGGGGUGAAAGGCCAAUCAAACCGGGAGAUAGCUGGUUCUCCCCGAAAGCUAUUUAGGUAGCGCCUCGUGAAUUCAUCUCCGGGGGUAGAGCACUGUUUCGGCUAGGGGGCCAUCCCGGCUUACCAACCCGAUGCAAACUGCGAAUACCGGAGAAUGUUAUCACGGGAGACACACGGCGGGUGCUAACGUCCGUCGUGAAGAGGGAAACAACCCAGACCGCCAGCUAAGGUCCCAAAGUCAUGGUUAAGUGGGAAACGAUGUGGGAAGGCCCAGACAGCCAGGAUGUUGGCUUAGAAGCAGCCAUCAUUUAAAGAAAGCGUAAUAGCUCACUGGUCGAGUCGGCCUGCGCGGAAGAUGUAACGGGGCUAAACCAU